UGCUUGAUGGAUGUCAAAGGUGCUUUGGGGUCUGACUCAGGCAAGCAAACAACUUCCUUGGGGACCCAACAUCUAGGAACUGCUCUUGAACAACCUAAAGACUCAGUAGUCACAGAAGGGGAAUCACUUACCCUGAGCUGUUCCCAAAGUAAAACCACUUAUGCUUUCAUGUACUGGUACAAGCAAGAGAGGAAGAAAGAUAUAUGGCUUCAGCUGGUGGCUUUUACAACUGAAGGUUCUGGAGGAGACUCUGCCAUCGAGAAGCCCUUUAACAGCCGCUUCAAGACAACAGGGAUGAAGAGUUAUAGCUUGCCUCUGUCUCUGGAGGACGCCCAGGUGGAAGACACAGGCAUCUACUACUGUGCUUCACAAGAUUACACAGCCAAGCAAAUGCUGAGGAAGCCAAGCAGAAACCUCUUCCUGGAGGAGUGCAAGGUUAUGAGAUGCUACAAGGCAAUUGCCCAAACUAUUUUGGUGCCUGAGUCAUCAAUUAUAGAGGCACCUCUCUAUGGGCUUUUCCUCUGA